rnacentral:rRNA from 1 species
AACGAACGCUGGCGGCAGGCCUAACACAUGCAAGUCGAACGCCCCGCAAGGGGAGUGGCAGACGGGUGAGUAACACGUGGGAACGUACCCUUCGGUUCGGGAUAACUCAGGGAAACUUGAGCUAAUACCGGAUACGUCCGAGAGGAGAAAGAUUUAUCGCCGAGGGAUCGGCCCGCGUCUGAUUAGCUUGUUGGUGAGGUAACGGCUCACCAAGGCGACGAUCAGUAGCUGGUCUGAGAGGAUGAUCAGCCACAUUGGGACUGAGACACGGCCCAAACUCC